rnacentral:rRNA from 1 species
UACGUAGGGUCCAAGCGUUAUCCGGAAUCACUGGGCGUAAAGCGUUUGUAGGCGGAAAUUUAAGUGCAAUGCGAAAUCCUAUGGCUCAACCAUAUGGACUGUAUUGCAUACUGGGUUUCUAGAAGAUAGCAGAGGCAAGUGGAAUUAGUAGUGUAGCGGUAAAAAUGCGUAGAUAUUACUAGGAACACCAAUGGCGAAGGCAGCUUGCUGGGCUAUAUUUGACGCUGAGAAACGAAAGCGUGGGGAGCGAACAGG